rnacentral:rRNA from 1 species
AUUGAACGCUGGCGGCAUGCUUUACACAUGCAAGUCGAACGGCAGCACAGGGAGCUUGCUCCCGGGUGGCGAGUGGCGCACGGGUGAGUAAUACAUCGGAACGUGUCCUGUUGUGGGGGAUAACUGCUCGAAAGGGUGGCUAAUACCGCAUGAGACCUGAGGGUGAAAGCGGGGGAUCGCAAGACCUCGCGCAAUUGGAGCGGCCGAUGCCUGAUUAGCUAGUUGGUGGGGUAACGGCCCACCAAGGCGACGAUCAGUAGCCGGACUGAGAGGUUGGCCGGCCACAUUGGGACUGAGACACGGCCCAG